rnacentral:rRNA from 1 species
AACGAACGCUGGCGGCAUGCCUAACACAUGCAAGUCGAACGAGACCUUCGGGUCUAGUGGCGCACGGGUGCGUAACGCGUGGGAACCUGCCCUUAGGUUCGGAAUAACAGUUAGAAAUGACUGCUAAUACCGGAUAAUGUCUUCGGACCAAAGAUUUAUCGCCUUUGGAUGGGCCCGCGUAAGAUUAGGUAGUUGGUGGGGUAAUGGCCUACCAAGCCGACGAUCUUUAGCUGGUCUGAGAGGAUGAUCAGCCACACUGGGACUGGGACACGGCCCAGACUCCUACGGGAGGCAGCAGUGGGGAAUAUUGGACAAUGGGCGAAAGCCUGAUCCAGCAAUGCCGCGUGAGUGAUGAAGGCCUUAGGGUUGUAAAGCUCUUUUACCAGGGAUGAUAAUGACAGUACCUGGAGAAUAAGCUCCGGCUGACUCCGUGCCAGCAGCCGCAGUAAUAC